AUGGCUCAGGAUGAACGCUGGCGGCGUGCCUAAUACAUGCAAGUCGAACGGAGAUAUUGUAGCAAUACGGUAACUUAGUGGCGAACGGGUGAGUAACGCGUUGGUGACCUGCCCCGGAGAGGGGGAUAACAGUUCGAAAGGAUUGCUAAUACCCCAUACGGUCAUAGAGAUUAGAGGCUCAAUGACCAAAGGCGAAAGUCGCUUCGGGAGGGGCCUGCGUCCCAUCAGCUAGUUGGUAAGGUAACGGCUUACCAAGGCGACGACGGGUAGGGGACCUGAGAGGGUGGCCCCCCACAAUGGAACUGAAACACGGUCCAUACACCUACGGGUGGCAGCAGUAGGGAAUAUUAGUUAAUGUGCGAAAGCGCGAACUAAGCAACGCCGCGUGUGCGAUGAAGGCCUUCGGGUCGUAAAGCACUUUUCGAGAAGAUGAGGAAGGACAGUACUCUCGGAAUAAGUCUCGGCUAACUACGUGCCAGCCGCCGC
rnacentral:rRNA from 1 species